rfam:Mucinivorans hirudinis complete genome
AAGAAAGUAGAGAAGGGCGUACGGGGGAUGCCUAGGCUCUUAUAGGCGAGGAAGGACGUGUUAAGCUGCGAUAAGCUUGGGGGAUUCGCAAAAAGGAAUUGAUCCCGAGAUUUCCGAAUGGGGCAACCCGGUUGGUUGAAGACCAAUCACACUGAAAAGUGAGCAAACCCACUGAACUGAAACAUCUAAGUAAGUGGAGGAGAAGAAAGAAACAUCGAUUCCCAGAGUAGUGGCGAGCGAAAUGGGAAUAGCCUAAACCGGUAUUGUUACGGCAAUAUCGGGGUUGUAGGACUACAAUAUGAAGCAGACAAUGAACGAGAACACAACUGGAAAGUUGGACGAUAUAGGGUGAUAGUCCCGUAUUGGUAAGUUGGAUGUGGAUAGUAGUAUCCUGAGUAGGGCGGGACACGUGAAAUCCUGUCUGAAUCCGCGGGGACCACCCCGCAAGGCUAAAUACUGAUAAGAGACCGAUAGUGAACCAGUACUGUGAAGGAAAGGUGAAAAGUACCCCGAGCAGGGGGGUGAAAAAGAACCUGAAACCGUACGCUUACAACCUGUUGGAGCCACUUCGUGUGGUGACAGCGUGCCUUUUGCAUAAUGAGCCUACGAGUUACUCAUCACUGGCAAGGUUAAGAACUUAGAGGUUCGGAGCCGAAGCGAAAGCGAGUCUGAAUAGGGCGCAAUAGUCAGUGGUGGUAGACGCGAAACCUUGCGAUCUACCCUUGGCCAAGAUGAAGGUGAGGUAGAACUCACUGGAGGUCUGAACCGGUAAACGUUGAAAAGUUUUCGGAUGAGCUGAGGGUAGGGGUGAAAGGCUAAUCAAGCUGGGAAAUAGCUCGUACUCCCCGAAAUGCCUUUAGGGGCAGCGUUGAUGUAGUUUACCGGAGGUAGAGCUACUGGUUGGAUGCGGGGGCUUCACCGCCUACCAAAUCCUGUCAAACUCCGAAUGCCGGUUAAAUGGUCAUCAGCAGUGAGCCAUUGGGUGCUAACGUCCAAUGACGAGAGAGGAAGAACUCAGACCAUCAGUUAAGGUCCCCAAACAUACACUAAGUUGAUAGAACGAUGUCCGGUUGCAGCGACAGCUAGGAAGUUAGCUUGGAAGCAGCUAUUCUUUUAAAGAGUGCGUAACAGCUCACUAGUCGAGCGACUGGGCGUGGAUAAUAAACGGGCAUCAAGUGUAUUACCGAAGCUAUGGACUCUGUAAAGAGUGGUAGGGGAGCAUUCUAUCGCCGUAGAAGCCGUAUCGUGAGAUAUGGUGGAGGUUAUAGAAAAGCAAAUGUAGGCAUAAGUAACGAUAAGGCGGGCGAGAAACCCGCCCACCGUAAGACCAAGGUUUCCUUUGCAAUGUUAAUCAGCGAAGGGUUAGUCGGGACCUAAGGCUAAGUCGAAAGGCGAUGUCGAUGGACAAUCGGUUAAUAUUCCGAUACCGGCUAUAUUGGUGAUGGAGAGACCCGGAAACGUAAGUGUCGCCAACUGACGGAAUAGUUGGUUAAAGGGCGUAGUUAUAGGUGGAUGUUAAUAGCAUCCGUUUGAUGAGACCUGACAGUACAGUGAGCCUUCGGGCGAGCUGAUAGUGCACCCAAGUCUGCCGGCAAGAAAAUCUUCUAAACAUAACAGUAUAGCAGCCCGUACCGUAAACCGACACAGGUGGUCGAGGAGAGUAUCCUAAGGUGCUCGAGUGAAUCACGGCUAAGGAACUAGGCAAAAUAACUCCGUAACUUCGGGAAAAGGAGUCCUCCGCGAGGAGGCGCAGCGAAGAGAUCCAGGCGACUGUUUAACAAAAACACAGGGCUAUGCAAAUUCGAAAGACGACGUAUAUGGCCUGACACCUGCCCGGUGCUGGAAGGUUAAGAGGGGAUGUUAUCGCAAGAGACGCAUUGAAUCGAAGCCCCAGUAAACGGCGGCCGUAACUAUAACGGUCCUAAGGUAGCGAAAUUCCUUGUCGGGUAAGUUCCGACCUGCACGAAUGGUGUAACGAUCUGGAUGCUGUCUCAGCCGUGAGCUCGGUGAAAUUGUAGUCCCGGUGAAGAUGCCGGGUACCCGCAACGGGACGGAAAGACCCCGUGAACCUUUACUGCAGCUUCGCGCUGGAUUUGGGUGCAAAAUGUGUAGGAUAGGCAGGAGACUAUGAAGCGGCGUCGCUAGGUGUCGUGGAGUCAGCGUUGAAAUACUGCCCUUUUUGUAUUUGGAUCCUAACCCAUAACUGGGGACACCGCGUGGUGGGUAGUUUGACUGGGGUGGUCGCCUCCAAAAGCGUAACGGAGGCUUUCAAAGGUACCCUCAAUACGAAUGGUAACCGUAUGUAGAGUGCAAUGGCACAAGGGUGCUUGACUGCGAGACCGACGGGUCGAACAGGUGCGAAAGCAGGACAUAGUGAUCCGGUGGUUUCCGAGUGGAAGGGCCAUCGCUCAAAGGAUAAAAGGUACUCCGGGGAUAACAGGCUGAUCGCUCCCAAGAGCUCAUAUCGACGGAGCGGUUUGGCACCUCGAUGUCGGCUCGUCACAUCCUGGGGCUGGAGAAGGUCCCAAGGGUUCGGCUGUUCGCCGAUUAAAGUGGCACGCGAGCUGGGUUCAGAACGUCGUGAGACAGUUCGGUCCCUAUCUGUUGCGGGCGUAGGAAUUUUGAGGGGUUCUGUUUUUAGUACGAGAGGACCGAAAUGGACUGACCUCUGGUUUACCGGUUAUGUCGCCAGAUGUACCGCCGGGUAUCCAAGUCGGGACGGGAUAAGCGCUGAAAGCAUCUAAGCGCGAAGCCCACCCCAAGAUAAGAAUUCCCUUGAGGGUCGUAGCAGACUACUACGUUGAUAGGCUACAGGUGUACGCAUAGUGAUAUGUUCAGCCGAGUAGUACUAAUCGCCCGAGAGUCUUUCUUCG